rnacentral:rRNA from 1 species
CGAGCCGGCGUCGUGUCGUGCGUUUUGAAAAACGACCCAGGGAGUGCACUUGAUUGGCGAGUCUAACCCGUGAACCGGGGAAGGCGCAGGGAAACCGAUACGGCCGCAGCACAUUCGUGUGAGGGCCACCGUGUUCAAGCGCGGGGAGUCAAUCAGGUGCGACCCGAAACCAGGCGAUCUACGCGCGAGCAAGGUGAAGCGUGGCGAAAGCCACGUGGAGGCCUGUUAGAGUUGGUAUUCUACAAUAUCCUCUCGUGACUCGUGUGUAGGGGUGAAAGGCCCAUCGAGCCUGGCAACAGCUGGUUCCAACCGAAACAUGUCGAAGCAUGACCUCUUCCGAGGUAGCCCGCGGGGUAGAGCUACCGAUUGGAUGACCCGCCUCCGAGAGGAGUCGGCCAUCCUGUCGAACUCCAAACCCGCAGGCGCUGUAGACGAAGGGAGUCCGGUGCGCGGGGUAAGCCUGUGUACCGUGAGGGGAACAACCCAGAGCCGGGUUAAGGUCCCAAAGUGUAGAUUAAGUGCGAUUCGAAGGUGGUCUCAAGCCCUAAACAGCCGGGAGGUGAGCUUAGAAGCAGCUACCCUCUAAGAAAAGCGUAACAGCUUACCGGCCGAGGUUUGAGGCGCCCAAAAUGAUCGGGGCUCAAAUCUACCACCGAGACCUGGCCGUGCCCUUGACAGGGGCAACCGCGUAGGUUGGCGUACUGGUCGGAUGGAAGCCCGGGCGAGAGCUCGUGUGGACCGUCCAGUAACGACAAUCCUGGUCACAGUAGCAGCGAUAGUCGGGUGAGAACCUCGACGGCCUGAAGAGCAAGGGUUCCUCGGCACUGCCGUUCAGCCGAGGGUUAGCCGGUCCUAAGGUGUACCACAACUUGACUACACCGACGGGAAGCUGGUUAAUAUUCCAGCGCCAUCGUGCAGUAAACGCCGACGCCGUGUGGAACGCUGAGCCGGGCACUCGCCCGGUCGAAUCGUGGAAACUCGUGGACGCCGUCACGGCACGAAGCGAGCGAAGCGCGAAAUAGCGAAAGUCAGCCGUACAUAGGGCCCGUGAAAAGGCAAGCACGAUGUCCGUACCGAGAUCCGACACAGGUGCUCUGCCAGCGCAAGGCAAGGCCUGUCGGGAGAACCGACGUUAGGGAAUUCGGCAAGUUAGUCCCGUACCUUCGGAAGAAGGGAUGCCUGCUCUCGACGGAGCAGGUCGCAGUGACUCGGGCGCUCCGACUGUCUAGUAACAACACAGGUGACCGCAAAUCCGCAAGGACUCGUACGGUCACUGAAUCCUGCCCAGUGCGGGUAUCUGAACACCUCGUACAAGAGGACGAAGGACCCGUCAACGGCGGGGGUAACUAUGACCCUCUUAAGGUAGCGUAGUACCUUGCCGCUUCAGUAGCGGCUUGCAUGAAUGGAUAAACGAGAGCGCCACUGUCCCAACGUUGGACCCGGUGAACUGUACGUUCCAGUGCGGAGUCUGGAGACCCCCAAGGGGAAGCGAAGACCCUAUAGAGCUUUACUGCAGGCUGUCGCUGAGACGUGGUCGCCGAUGUGCAGCAUAGGUAGGAGUCGUUACAGAGGUACGCGCGCCAGCGCGCCACCCAGACAGCAUUGAAAUACUACCCGUCGGUGACUGCGACUCUCACUCCGGGAGGAGUACACCGGUAGCCGGGCAGUUUGACUGGGGCGGUACGCGCUCGAAAAGAUAUCGAGCGCGCCCGAAGAUCAUCUCAGCCGGGUCGGGAAUCCGGCGAAGAGCGCAAGAGCACAAGAUGGUCUGACAGUGUUCUUCCCAACGAGGAACGCUGACGCGAAAGCGUGGUCUAGCGAACCUACGAGGUUCCGGAAUGGGACCCGUAGAUGACAGAAAAGCUACCUUAGGGAUAACAGAGUCGUCACUCGCAAGAGCACAUAUCGACCGAGUGGCUUGCUACCUCGAUGUCGGUUCCCUCCAUCCUGCCCGUGCAGAAGCGGGCAAGGGUGAGGUUGUUCGCCUAUUAAAGGAGGUCGUGAGCUGGGUUUAGACCGUCGUGAGACAGGUCGGCUGCUAUCUAUUGGGGGUGUGAGGUACCUGACGUGAACGAACGUAUAGUACGAGAGGAACUACGUUUGGUCGCCACUGGUGUAUCGGUUGUCCGAGAGGGCAGAUGCCGAGUAGCCACGCGACACGGGGUAAGAGCUGAACGCAUCUAAGCUCGAAACCCACAUGGAAAAGAGGUACCACAGAGGUCACUCGUAGAAGACGAGUUCGAUAGACUCGGGGUGUACGCACCGAGGCAACGAGGUGUUAAGCCCACGAGCACUAACAGACC